rnacentral:rRNA from 1 species
GACGAACGCUGGCGGCGUGCUUAACACAUGCCAGUCGAACGCUGAAGCACCAGCUUGCUGGUGUGGAUGAGUGGCGAACGGGUGAGUAAUACGUGAGUAACCUGCCCUUGACUCUGGGAUAAGCCCGGGAAACUGGGUCUAAUACUGGAUGCUACAUGUCACCGCAUGGUGGUGUGUGGAAAGGGUUUACUGGUCUUGGAUGGGCUCACGGCCUAUCAGCUUGUUGGUGAGGUAAUGGCUCACCAAGGCGACGACGGGUAGCCGGCCUGAGAGGGUGACCGGCCACACUGGGACUGAGACACGGCCCAGACUCCUACGGGAGGCAGCAGUGGGGAAUAUUGCACAAUGGGCGAAAGCCUGAUGCAGCGACGCCGCGUGAGGGAUGACGGCCUUCGGGUUGUAAACCUCUUUCAGCAGGGAAGAAGCCACAAGUGACGGUACCUGCAGAAGAAGCGCCGGCUAACUACGUG